rnacentral:rRNA from 1 species
CUCAACUGAGGAAAGUCCGUCGAAACUGUUAGACUAGAGGAACACAGAGGGAGGCGGAACUCUCGGAGUAGCGGUGAAAUGCGUAGAUACCGAGAGGUACCCCGAUGGCGAAGGCAGCCUCCUGGGUGUUACCUGACGCUGAAGCGCUAAGGCCAGGGGAGCGAAGGGGAUUAGAUACCCCCGUAGUCCUGGCUGCAAACGAUGUGGGCUAGGUAUCGGACCCAAAGAGAGGUUCGUUGCCGUAGCUAACGCGUUAAGCCCACCGCCUGGGGAUUACGUCCGCAAGGAUGAAACUCAAGGGAAUUGACGGGGGCCCACACAACCGGUGGAGCACGUGGUUUAAUUCGAUGAUAAGCGAAGAACCUUACCAGGGCUUGACCUAGCGGUAGUAGGACCCCGAAAGGGGAACGAUCCUGAACUCAGUUCAGGAAGCCGUGGCAGGUGGUGCAUGGCUGUCGUCAGCUCGUGUCGUGGGACGUUGGGUUAAGUCCCGUAACGAGCGCAACCCCUGCUCUUAGUUGCCAGCGGUACGGCCGGGGACUCUAAGAGGACUGCCGGAGAAUAUCCGGAGGAAGGUGGGGAUGACGUCAAAUCAGCACGGCCCUUACGCCCAGGGCUACACACGUGUUACAAUGGCCGGAACAAAGAGCAGCUACCACGCGAGUGGAUGCUAAUCUCCAAAACCGGUCACAGUUCGGAUCG